AAAGAGAGAGAGAGAGAGAGAUAGAGUAAAUCUGCAAUGGCAGAUAGUGGUGGUUUGGUUGCAGAGCUUAGCAAUGAACAAUUGCUUAGCGGAGGGAGCUAAGAGAUAGCCAGUGUUCCCGCAGAGCAGUAGAUAUGGUGGCUGUGAUAAGCUUGAGUGUGAGAGGACAGUAUGACUGAGCCAUUGAGACUUUGAUCUAAAAUGCAUAUAACAAUAAUAUCUUGCUGUCCAAUUCCCUGACUUUACAUACCUUUAAAGAGUUUCCUUUGCAAU
rnacentral:misc_RNA from 1 species